rnacentral:rRNA from 1 species
AUUGAACGCUGGCGGCAGGCUUAACACAUGCAAGUCGAACGGUAACAUAAAGAAGCUUGCUUCUUUGAUGACGAGUGGCGGACGGGUGAGUAAUGCUUGGGAAUCUAGCUUAUGGAGGGGGAUAACUACGGGAAACUGUAGCUAAUACCGCGUAAUAUCGAAAGAUUAAAGUGUGGGACCUUCGGGCCACAUGCCAUAGGAUGAGCCCAAGUGGGAUUAGGUAGUUGGUGAGGUAAAGGCUCACCAAGCCGACGAUCUCUAGCUGGUCUGAGAGGAUGACCAGCCACACUGGGACUGAGACACGGCCCAGACUCCUACGGGAGGCAGCAGUGGGGAAUAUUGCGCAAUGGGGGCAACCCUGACGCAGCCAUGCCGCGUGAAUGAAGAAGGCCUUCGGGUUGUAAAGUUCUUUCGGUAGCGAGGAAGGCACUUAGUUUAAUAGACUAGGUGAUUGACGUUAACUACAGAAGAAGCACCGGCUAACUCCGUGCCAGCCGCCGCAGUAA